rnacentral:rRNA from 1 species
CCUACGGGAGGCAGCAGUAGGGAAUCUUCCACAAUGGGCGAAAGCCUGAUGGAGCAACGCCGCGUGAGUGAUGAAGGCCUUCGGGUUGUAAAACUCUGUCAUUCGGGACGAACCGGAGUCUGAGGAAAUGCAGACUCUCUGACGGUACCGGAGGAGGAAGCCCCGGCUAACUACGUGCCAGCAGCCGCGGUAAUACGUAGGGGGCAAGCGUUGUCCGGAUUCACUGGGCGUAAAGCGCGCGCAGGCGGUGAUGUAAGUCUGAGGUGAAAACCCGAAGCUCAACUUCGGGACUGCCUUGGAUACUGCGUCACUUGAGGAUAGGAGAGGCAAGGGGAAUUCCACGUGUAGCGGUGAAAUGCGUAGAGAUGUGGAGGAACACCUGUGGCGAAGGCGCCUUGCUGGCCUAUUUCUGACGCUGAGGCGCGAAAGCGUGGGGAGCAAACAGGAUUAGAUACCCUGGUAGUCCACGCUGUAAACGAUGAGUGCUAGGUGUAGGUGGGCUCAUACCACUCUGUGCGAGACUACGCAUAAGCACNCCGCCCGUCGGGAGGUACGGUCGCGAGACGUAGAACGUACAAUAGAAGUUAGUUACGGCGUUGAGGACGUUGCCGACGGACGACGACGAGGGGAGGUAGGG